CCUACGGGAGGCAGCAGGAGGGAAUUUUCGGCAAUGGGGGGAACCCUGACCGAGCAACGCCGCGUGAACGAAGAAGUUAUUCGUAAUGUAAAGUUCUUUUAACAGGGAAGAAAGAGAAAUUUGACGGUACCUGAAGAAUAAGCUCCGGCUAACUACGUGCCAGCAGCCGCGGGAAUACGUAGGGAGCGAGGGUUAUCCGGAAUUAUUGGGUGAAAAGGGUGCGUAGAUUGAAUAAUAGGUCUUUUGAAAAAAUGCUGGGCUCAACACAGUAGGGAAAAAGAUACUGCAAAGCUAGAUUAUGACAGAGAGAAUGGGAACUAGAUGUGUAGCGGUAAAAUGUGGAAAUCUAUGUAAGCACACCAGGGGCGAAGGCGGCUGGCUGGGUGGAUACUGACAUUGGGGCACGAAGGCGUGGGGAGCAAAAAGGAUUAGAGCCCCCAUUAGUC
rnacentral:rRNA from 1 species